CGCGGUUAAAAUCUCCGGUGGUUAUAAGCGGCGGUGUUCAGUUCGUUGGGGACUUCAGAGAGUACAAUUUGCGGAGAUUUAGUUUUCGUCGAGAGGAAGGAGUGGAAUUUGUCACGUGAAGAUGUUUGAUUUGUGAUAUGGUAUUUCGCAACGGUUACUUUUUAUACGAACAGAUAAAUAUGAUUUAUCGACGAGCUUGUUUCGAGAGUUCUCAAAAAGAAUUUUUAAAUAAUAGCGCGGGUAUUAUGAUGUUCGGAAAUAGCGGUGAGCUUUAACUCAAGUUUAAGAAGAUAUGGAUAUAAAAUUCUCAUUAUAUAUACUAGAAAUAAAAACCCGUUUUAAUCAUUA